GCUAAAGAGGGAAAAAAGGAUGAAAGAUUUAUAUCAGUAAAACAGUACAUGAAUCAUGUGAAUGACAAAUAGGAAUAUUAGAAAUCCAAACAUUUACAGGAUGGGGUCCAUGUACUCUGAGCAGCUGGGAGCUGGCGAUGCAAUGAGGGAUUACAUUUGUUCGGUGAAUAGCCGGGCGCCUGCUUACUCUUGCUUUGGAAAGGUCUAACCUUCUAGUGGAGAAGGAGCAAAGCAAGUAGCUUCCUGGAGGUACCAAAACCAGCUACUCAGAAAGAGAGCCCCUCUAUCUUUUUCAAGUUGAAAUGGUACCCCUCUCAUGAGGUCAGACUCUUCGGUACGCCCCAAGGCACCAAACACCUUGUCCAAAUUAAAAUGGCCAGAGCUUUUGAAAAGUGAAUAGAUAUCCAAAUGGAACUCACCGCUUACGAUUUCGGAUUUGGCUUCCCCUCGCAAAUAGAAGGACAUUUCUGUCAUUGUUUAUGCCAAAGGUCUUCCUUACAUCAGUGGGGGGAGAAAGUGGAUUUCUAAUACUGGUUAGCAUUAACAACUCUAUUUUAGUUAGGGAGAAGGAACACUUACUUGUAGAUAAAGAUCUUCAUUGGUUUUAUCAGACAUGUUAAAAGCAUUGUCUUUUAAUGUCAGAGUGGUUGGUUUACAGCUCUCAACGAUAUGGCAUCUUAACCUAUGAAAAUCCAAAGGAAACAUAACUUCUUAAAAUCUUUAAUGAAAUUUUUUUAAAUAAAAGUAACCUAUAAUGUGAGAAAAGUCAAAUACAGAAGUUGAUGUAACUGAGAUGAAAGUACUCCUCCUUCUCCCCAGACACACGUAAGGUGGCAGCUCAGUGUGGAUCUAUCUUGGAAGUGGAGCACAGCUGGCCACUCCCAAAUAGGCCUCUCUGGCAUAAGGAUUAUCUUGAGCUGGUUGUUCUUUAAGAAACAGCAGACCUAAGAAAAGCUUUGAAAACCUUUUGUCAGGGACACUGACAUUUACAAGGGAAGGAAAUGUCCAUCAGUAAGGGUGUCUUCCUCUCCAUGCCAGGAGGAGGGGAUGACAGAAAUCUCUAAGAGUUCUUAAUGGAGAAGGGACCAGUGGACAUCUGCUGAAUGACCUUGCUCUUGUUUACUGUAAUUUUCCGGACAGCCCCCCGCAACUGACUCCCUUAUGCCCCAACAUCUUGUCCCGAGCUGCAGAUGGUAUUUAAGAUGGUGUCUUGGGCCACUUUGGGGAGUUUUCCUGGGUAUCUUCCAUAUAUACAGGAAGUAUACAUGGUAUUAAACUUCUCCUUUCCUCCUAUUAAUCUUUUAUUACAAGGGGUGGGGGUCUCAGCCAAGAACCUAGCACGGUAGACAAAAAAUUAUUUUUCCUCUCCUACAUUUUGGUAACCUAUGCUGGGACCUGCUGAGACACGGUACUCGUCUGGGAGCUUACAGCUGGGAGCCUGGAAAACCGGCAGAAGCCAGUGAGGACACAACUGGAAGCAUGGUUAUAUUACCAAGGCUUUGACUGGAAUGUCAUAUUCGAAAAUGAUAUGCAUAAAAUCAGGUAUGACCAGACAACUUUAAGGAACCAAUAAAGCCCCUUGGAAAAAAUGGACCUGUAACCUUGCUUACAGGAUUCUGGACAGUGUCACCAGG